CAGCAGCCGCGGUAAAACGGAGGGGGCUAGCGUUGUUCGGAAUUACUGGGCGUAAAGCGCACGUAGGCGGCUUUGUAAGUUAGAGGUGAAAGCCUGGAGCUCAACUCCAGAAUUGCCUUUAAGACUGCCGAGCUAGCAGGUGGGAGAGGUAAGUGGAAUUCCGAGUGUAGAGGUGAAAUUCGUAGAUAUUCGGAAGAACACCAGUGGCGAAGGCGGCUCACUGGACUGGUAUUGACGCUGAGGUGCGAAAGCGUGGGGAGCAAACAGGAUUAGAUACCCCGGUAGUCCCUGUCUCUUAUAC
rnacentral:rRNA from 1 species